UACAGAGGUCUCAAGCGUUGUUCGGAAUCACUGGGCGUAAAGGGUGCGUAGGCGGCGUAAAAAGUCAGAUGUGAAAUCCGGAGGCUCAACCGCCGAAUUGCAUCCGAAACUCUUAUGCUUGAGGGUUGUAGAGGAGCGUGGAACUCUCGGUGUAGCAGUGAAAUGCGUAGAUAUCGAGAAGAACGCUCGCAGCGAAAGCGAGGCUCUGGGCCACUUCUGACGCUGAUGCACGAAGGCUAGGGGAGCAAACGGG
rnacentral:rRNA from 1 species